UAUUCCAGGAAGCCAUUUCAUCUGCCGCUGAACGUUCAGCAGAUCCACCAAAGAUCAGUGUGACUAUAAUAAAUAAGCAGUACAUUCGAGUCACUUGGAAGCGAGAGGGUCCAUGGAGCUCCGUAAGGGAUUUCACUAUCGAUUUCAGAGGCACUGGUGAAAGGCCUACUUCUAAAUAUUGUACUGGUUUGAUAAUACCAUGCAGCAGUGAUGUUUGUAGUUUUGACAGUAACGAACGCUGCCCAAGUUUUGGUGUAUGUCAUGACGUGGGAGUUGUUAUAAGAGGAAAUGCUACAAUCUCGUGAACGUAAAGUACGAACAGGUAAUACCAUAUGUCUCAAGACCAUUGUAUAGCAUCUCAAAACUUCAAACACUUGGAAACAUUUGAGCUUAGCUCAUGUUCACAAGUAUUUUGAGUUUUGAGCAUGUUGUGUUCCAUCGAACAUUAAAAGUCAUUAGAAAGCCAUGAACUAUUCUAAAGGCUUUUUUGUAGCAUCCCGAAACCCCUAAUACUGAUAUAUUGUUUCAAGUUGUAUCAAUGUUGGGAAAAAAAAUCACAUGAGAAAGCAACAGAAAAACAUUUAAGAGCUAAAUUUGCUCGUAUGGUUUCUA